rnacentral:rRNA from 1 species
GACGAACGCUGGCGGCGUGCCUAAUACAUGCAAGUAGAACGCUGAAGGAGGAGCUUGCUUCUCUGGAUGAGUUGCGAACGGGUGAGUAACGCGUAGGUAACCUGCCUGGUAGCGGGGGAUAACUAUUGGAAACGAUAGCUAAUACCGCAUAAGAGUAGAUGUUGCAUGACAUUUGCUUAAAAGGUGCAAUUGCACCACUACCAGAUGGACCUGCGUUGUAUUAGCUAGUUGGUGGGGUAACGGCUCACCAAGGCGACGAUACAUAGCCGACCUGAGAGGGUGAUCGGCCACACUGGGACUGAGACACGGCCCAGACUCCUACGGGAGGCAGCAGUAGGGAAUCUUCGGCAAUGGACGGAAGUCUGACCGAGCAACGCCGCGUGAGUGAAGAAGGUUUUCGGAUCGUAAAGCUCUGUUGUAAGAGAAGAACGAGUGUGAGAGUGGAAAGUUCACACUGUGACGGUAUCUUACCAGAAAGGGACGGCUAACUACGUG